rnacentral:lncRNA from 1 species
GUCCAAAUUAGCAAUGUUCCCACAGAAAAGGCAGAACAUGGUCUGUCUGUGCCAACCAGUUUUCAACAGGAAUCACAUCCUCUGCAAACAUCUGUUGUUGAAGCAGCCCCAUCUGUUGUGCUUGAUGCCAAGAUGGAUAAACAUCCUCCUGCCCAGAAUAGCACUGUUCAGUCCAAAGAAACCAAAAAGCACUUGCCAGUGCAUACCAGCGUUCAACAAGAAUCCCAACCUCUGCAGACAUCUGUUGUUGAAGCAGCCCCAUCUGCGGUUGUUUCUGAUGUCAAGAUGGAUAAUCCUGUCCAAAGCACUCAAGUUCAGGAUACCAAGAAAUCUAUGGUUAAAGAAGCUCCAGUGAAACCC